GACGAACGCUGGCGGCGUGCUUAACACAUGCAAGUCGAGCGGUAAGGCCCUUUCGGGGGUACACGAGCGGCGAACGGGUGAGUAACACGUGGGUGACCUGCCCUCAGCUCUGGGAUAAGCCUGGGAAACCGGGUCUAAUACUGGAUAUGACUCCAUGACGCAUGUUGUGGGGUGGGAAGCCUUGUGCGGCUGAGGAUGGGCCCGCGGCCUAUCAGCUUGUUGGUGGGGUGAGGCCUACCAAGGCGACGACGGGUAGCCGGCCUGAGAGGGCGACCGGCCACACUGGGACUGAGACACGGCCCAGACUCCUACGGGAGGCAGCAGUGGGGAAUCUUGCGCAAUGGGCGAAAGCCUGACGCAGCGACGCCGCGUGAGGGAUGACGGCCUGGUGUAA
rnacentral:rRNA from 1 species